GUUGGUGUCAAUAGCGGUGAGGGUACACCUGUUCCCGUCCCGAACACAGAAGUUAAGCUCACCAGCGGCGAUGGUACUGUAGGACAACCUAUGGAAGAGUAGCGCGAUGCCAACU
rnacentral:rRNA from 1 species